rnacentral:misc_RNA from 1 species
UACGUAGGGGGCGAGCGUUGUCCGGAAUUAUUGGGCGUAAAGCGCGCGCAGGCGGUCUUCUAAGUCUGAUGUGAAAGCCCACGGCUUAACCGUGGAGGGUCAUUGGAAACUGGAGGACUUGAGUACAGAAGAGGAGAGUGGAAUUCCACGUGGAGCGGUGAAAUGCGUAGAGAUGUGGAGGAACACCAGUGGCGAAGGCGACUCUCUGGUCUGUAACUGACGCUGAGGUGCGAAAGCGUGGGUAGCGAACAGG